rnacentral:misc_RNA from 1 species
UACGUAGGGUCCAAGCGUUAUCCGGAAUCAUUGGGUUUAAAGGGUCCGUAGGCGGGUCAAUCAGUCAGUGGUGAAAGUCUUCCGCUCAACUGUAGAACUGCCAUUGAAACUGUUGUCCUUGAGUCAUUAUGAAGUGGUUAGAAUAUGUAGUGUAGCGGUGAAAUGCAUAGAUAUUACAUAGAAUACCGAUUGCGAAGGCAGAUUACUAAUAAUGUACUGACGCUGAGGGACGAAAGCGUAGGUAGCGAACAGG